rfam:Stegodyphus mimosarum contig93178, whole genome shotgun sequence.
GUCUUCGUGGUGUAAUGGUCAGCACACUGAACCGGUAUUCAGAGGGCCAGGGUUCGAUCCCCGGCGAAGGCA